rnacentral:rRNA from 1 species
UACAGAGGUCCCAAGCGUUGUUCGGAUUUACUGGGCGUAAAGGGCGCGUAGGCGGCGCGGUAAGUCACUUGUGAAAUCUCUGAGCUUAACUCAGAACGGCCAAGUGAUACUGCAGUGCUAGAGUGCAGAAAGGGCAAUCGGAAUUCUUGGUGUAGCGGUGAAAUGCGUAGAUAUCAAGAGGAACACCUGAGGCGAAGGCGGGUUGCUAGGCUGACACUGACGCUGAGUGCGCGAAAGCCAGGGGAGCAAACGGG